rnacentral:rRNA from 1 species
GGAGUGCGGCAGCUACCAUGCAGUCGAGCGGUAACAGAUCCAGCUUGCUGGAUGCUGACGAGCGGCGGACGGGUGAGUAAUGCAUAGGAAUCUGCCCGGUAGUGGGGGAUAACCUGGGGAAACCCAGGCUAAUACCGCAUACGUCCUACGGGAGAAAGGGGGCUUCGGCUCCCGCUAUCGGAUGAGCCUAUGUCGGAUUAGCUAGUUGGUGAGGUAACGGCUCACCAAGGCCACGAUCCGUAGCUGGUCUGAGAGGAUGAUCAGCCACAUCGGGACUGAGACACGGCCCGAACUCCUACGGGAGGCAGCAGUGGGGAAUAUUGGACAAUGGGGGGAACCCUGAUCCAGCCAUGCCGCGUGUGUGAAGAAGGCCCUCGGGUUGUAAAGCACUUUCAGCGAGGAAGAACGCCUAGCGGUUAAUACCCGCUAGGAAAGACAUCACUCGCAGAAGAAGCACCGGCUAACUCCGUGCCAGCAGCCGCGGUAAUACGGAGGGUGCAAGCGUUAAUCGGAAUUACUGGGCGUAAAGCGCGCGUAGGUGGCUUGAUAAGCCGGUUGUGAAAGCCCCGGGCUCAACCUGGGAACGGCAUCCGGAACUGUCAAGCUAGAGUGCAGGAGAGGAAGGUAGAAUUCCCGGUGUAGCGGUGAAAUGCGUAGAGAUCGGGAGGAAUACCAGUGGCGAAGGCGGCCUUCUGGACUGACACUGACACUGAGGUGCGAAAGCGUGGGUAGCAAACAGGAUUAGAUACCCUGGUAGUCCACGCCGUAAACGAUGUCGACCAGCCGUUGGGUGCCUAGCGCACUUUGUGGCGAAGUUAACGCGAUAAGUCGACCGCCUGGGGAGUACGGCCGCAAGGUUAAAACUCAAAUGAAUUGACGGGGGCCCGCACAAGCGGUGGAGCAUGUGGUUUAAUUCGAUGCAACGCGAAGAACCUUACCUACUCUUGACAUCCUGCGAAUUCGGUAGAGAUACCUUAGUGCCUUCGGGAACGCAGAGACAGGUGCUGCAUGGCUGUCGUCAGCUCGUGUUGUGAAAUGUUGGGUUAAGUCCCGUAACGAGCGCACCCUUGUCCUUAUUUGCCAGCGCGUAUGGCGGGAACUCUAAGGAGACUGC